GACGAACGCUGGCGGCACGCUUAACACAUGCAAGUCGAACGAGAGAAGAGAAGCUUGCUUUUCUGAUCUAGUGGCGGACGGGUGAGUAACACGUGAGCAAUCUGCCUUUCAGAGGGGGAUACCGAUUGGAAACGAUCGUUAAUACCGCAUAAUAUAAUUGAACCGCAUGAUUUGAUUAUCAAAGAUUUAUCGCUGAAAGAUGAGCUCGCGUCUGAUUAGCUAGUUGGUAAGGUAACGGCUUACCAAGGCGACGAUCAGUAGCCGGACUGAGAGGUUGAUCGGCCACAUUGGGACUGAGACACGGCCCAGACUCCUACGGGAGGCAGCAGUGGGGAAUAUUGCACAAUGGAGGAAACUCUGAUGCAGCGAUGCCGCGUGAGGGAAGAAGGUUUUAGGAUUGUAAACCUCUGUCU
rnacentral:rRNA from 1 species